rnacentral:rRNA from 1 species
CGGAGGGUGCAAGCGUUACCCGGAAUCACUGGGCGUAAAGGGCGUGUAGGCGGCCCCAUAAGUCCGACUUUGAAGACCGAGGCUCAACCUCGGGCGUGGGUUGGAGACUGUGGGACUAGACCUCUGGAGAGAGAACCGGAAUUCCUGGUGGAGCGGUGGAAUGCGUAGAUCCCAGGAGGAACACCGACGGCGAAGGCAGGUUCUUGGACAGAAGGUGACGCUGAGGCGCGAAAGUGUGGGGAGCAAAACCGGAUU